UUGCAAUAUACAUAAAGACAUUGCUUCUAUUACAAGGUCUUUAUGUUUCCUCUUGGUCAUGCAAUUAAACAUUGAAGACCUAUUUUUCAAACAAAAUUCAGUUUUCAUCACCUCAGAAUCUUCAUGGUCAACCAAAUAUAACAGGUAACAAUUUAAUACAUUAAAAAAAAAUGGCUUCCAACAUACUCUUCCACUACUGAUUCUUAAAGCUUGACAAUGAAAAUUUGAACUGGUAUUUUAAGUUCUAGCACGUUCUUCCAAGUUCACCCAUAGGAUCAUUAAAAGCAUUCCUUAGACAUCAGAAUUCCGUGGAUCUGAAGUUGUGAAAGCAAUAGGAAUUAUUCCCAACAUGUUGCAAAUCCUACUGAGUUUGCACUUUAGGAGGCAAAAAAAUAUAAAUUUGAGUCAAUCUAUUGACUCUAAAACUAAACAAUUUUUAGCUUCAACUGAAUUAACUUAAAAUUUAAAAAAUCUACAAUAUAGUUUGCAACAAAAUCUUCAC